ACACUGUUCUCCAGAUUGGCUGUGCCACUUGACAUUCCCACCAGUGAUGUGUGGAAGAUCCAGUUUCUUCACAUCUUCAUCAGCAUUUGGCUGAGAACCUACUCACUAAAGACGGGUGGAGGAAGAGCCUGCCCAAAAGAGCUCAGAGCUAACAGAAGGAGUAGGGAGGAAUCUAACAAGCUAGGAAGGAAAUGGGCCAACCUGUCCAGGGAAGAAGCUGCGAUUACCAGGGCAAUGAGCUACUUUGCAUCACUCAGUGCAGUGCCUGUGCGAGGUGGACAGGACUGCCCAGGAAUCCAGGGGUGUGCGGGCAGAUUCCAGAUUAGUGUUAAGGUGGACCCUGGUUAAUAGAGAAAGCUUCAAAGGAUAUGAAUUUAA